rnacentral:tRNA from 1 species
GUCCGCGUAGCUCAGCUGGAUAGAGCGACCGCCUCCUAAGCGGUAGGUCGUGUGUUCGAAUCACAUCGUGGACG